rnacentral:tRNA from 1 species
GGGACCCUAGCUCAGCGGGAGAGCACUUGGCUGAAGACCAAGGUGUCCCGGGUUCGACUCCCGGGGGUCCCA